AACGAACGCUGGCGGCAGGCUUAACACAUGCAAGUCGAACGCACCGCAAGGUGAGUGGCAGACGGGUGAGUAACACGUGGGAACGUGCCUUUAGGUUCGGAAUAACUCAGGGAAACUUGUGCUAAUACCGAAUGUGCCCUUCGGGGGAAAGAUUUAUCGCCUUUAGAGCGGCCGGCGUCUGAUUAGCUAGUUGGUGGGGUAAAGGCUCACCAAGGCGACGAUCAGUAGCUGGUCUGAGAGGAUGAUCAGCCACAUUGGGACUGAGACACGGCCCAACCUCCUACGGGAGGCAGCAGUGGGGAAUCUUGCGCAAUGGGCGAAAGCCUGACGCAGCCAUGCCGCGUGAAUGAUGAAGGUCUUAGGAUUGUAAAAUUCUUUCACCGGGGACGAUAAUGACGGUACCCGGAGAAGAAGCCCCGGCUAACUUCGUGCCAGCCGCCGCAGUAAGAC
rnacentral:rRNA from 1 species